rnacentral:lncRNA from 1 species
AGCCAUUAAAUUGGGGCUGAAAUUGCGGGUGGGUUGUUUUGGGCCGCCCAUUAUGUGUUCCCUGGGCUUAAAUUUUUAGUUAGCAAAGGCCCAACCCGUUAGGUUGCUUUCGAUCUCGUCAAGGAGAUCGUGCGAAGAGGCAGAGGGUGACAUCGAGUUUAGGGUUUGCACAGUAAGAGGCAAGAGGGUUGAUGGGAAGGGUAGGAGCUAGAGAGGGGGUGGGUGCUUUCCACUGACGUUGGUUGCAAAGAGAGAGAUAUCGGGUAUGACAAUUGAAUCCCAGUGUAGUGUAGGAAGAUCCUUCAUGGCAAUUGGCAAUUGACAAUUGAAUCCUCCGAAUAGUAACUGUCUUUAAUCAAUAAUAAUUGUCUUUUGCACCUUCAUCCUUAAAUUAAAUAGUCAUAGCAAUAGGCAAUAAAAUGUUAAUAUUUUUUAUUUUAUAAAAUAAUAAAAAAUAAUUUUAUUUGUAAUUUCGGAUAAGAUUUUUAACUGGCCUCAUUACUUUACGUGUCAUUAUUCGAAAGUACAUUUUUUUGUGAUUGAUUUUUAUCCAAUUCUAUAGCACCACAUGUCGUUACCUUUUUAGAAUCAUUGAAAAUAUUGAAAUGUAGUGUAAAGUGCAAGAAAAUGGUAAGGUAUUAAUAAAAAAAACAUUAUAAUUUUUUUUAAAUUUUUUCGGAUUGUUAAUUAGUUUUAAAAAAAUUAAUAACUUAAUUAAUCUGGACCGUUGAAAUACAAAAUUUUGAAAUCCAACAGUCCAACAUGAGACAUGUGUGGCCCACCCAAACAUUUUUUAUUCUUUUUCUUUUUCUAAAAAAAAUUUAAAGCUGAAAAACUGAACCGUUGAUCUGGAAAUCAAAUGGUCCAGAUUCAAAGUGACUGAGUGGGGCUGAC